GAGGGCGGCGGGCGGCCAGCGCCCCCGGCCGCGGGCAGGGGCGGCCCUCUCGGCCGGACAGCGUGGCAGGCGGCGGGGACAACAGCUCCGCUCACUUCCUGGUUCCCCGGCAACUGGGGCGAAGCGCGCAACUCGCCCGCGCCGACUCCCCAACUUAGCCGCGGCUCCGCGCCCGGCCCCUGCCGCUGCCGCUGCUGCGCCGCCGCCGCCGCCGCUCUCCCCGGAGCGACAGCCCGGAUCCGAGGCAGGUUACUCUCCAAGGUGAUCACUUCCUGAUUUGUCGCCUCCAUUACUUCAUUCACUCCCCCCUCUCCGCGGCCGCCCGGCUGCCGGAGACGGACACCGGACCCGGGGCGCUGACCGCCCCGGGGGACGCUCCCCGCCCGCCGGGCGCCCCCUCGCCCGCUGCACCGAUGCACGGGAGAAAAGUUCCCCUGUGCUUACCGGCCCGGAUGAGCAGAUCCAGCUGGUUCGUGGGUCCCUCAUGCAGAGACGUCGCCAUGUUUAUCCCGGGGCUGGAACUGCUGCUUCACAUUGACUUACACCCUGAGCGGCGGCGACAGGGGAGAAGGCGGAACCCGCGGCCGGAGACACACGCCGUGCGGGCGGCACACACUCACGCACUCGCACACACUCCGACGCCCGGAUCCUUGCGCGUCCUCCGACAGGAAGCGGCGGCCGGCCCGCCUCCCGCCGCCGGGCUCAGCAGCCCCACCACCUAACGGCAGGGGCGGCGGCGGCCCCGGCUGGCAACGCGAUCCUUCCGCCCCGCGCCCAGACAGGAAGUCAGUCCCGGGCGCCGGCAGCCGGCGGCCGCACGGACACCUGAGGCUGGGGAGCCGCAGGCCGCCCUCGGGGACGCGGGCCUCGCCUCGGCAGGAAGAGGCGCGCUUCACGUUCUGCGGAAGCGAAGUCUGCAAAUGUCCCCUCUGGAAAAGAGCCAUGAAUCAAAUUUUUCUUCCUAGAAAAGACCUCAUACCUAGUCCCGCAGCUGUACACGGAGGUGGCUUUUUAACUUGGGUUGGCCUUCCCGGCGCUUAUGCAACAUACAAUCAGUUCAGUCGAAAGAACUGCACUUUAAAAAACUUGUACCUAGAAAAUAUUCUAGAAGCAUCACUAAGGAAGUCAGGAGUCUCCAACUACUUCAAAAACUGACUUGGUCCUGUCUUCUCGACAGAAGUCAGAGUACACUAGACAGGUAAUUAGUAAACAGAAAAGAGCCGCCCGGCAGCCUCGGGGAGACUGGAGUCGCUGGGUUUGCUGGUCAUGAAAUUCGUGUGCCCUCUCUUGUAUUUGCUUGACUUGGACAAAUGAACGUAUUCGUUCAUAGCUUAAAGAUAUCUUCAGACAGCUUUUAAAAAACUCGUUUACCUUGAAACUGGCCUUACAAAUACACACUGUAACAGGAAAGGAAAAUAAUGGCCAAUUAGUGGCUAUAAAUUAGUGGAAAUACAGGGAAUAAGACCUAAUUAAAUGCCUUGCCUGUUUCAGAAUUUCUUAACAUAAAAACUGAAAUAAAAUGUCAUUCCGAAGUUAUUUGACACACGUUUUAUGUAAAAUGCACCUCCAAUACAUUUUAUUCUUCGUUCAAUAAAAGUUGCUGAAUAAAAAGUAAUCAUCUGUAAUGGUAGGGUUACAGAUUUUAUC